UUAACUCAAAUUUGUGUGGAGUUGGAACGUCUGCCUACCUUUGCCGCUAGGAGCGCUGUUCCAACUACAUACAUACAGAUUUGAGUUA
rnacentral:pre_miRNA from 1 species